UACGGAGGGAGCUAGCGUUGUUCGGAAUUACUGGGCGUAAAGCGCACGUAGGCGGCUUUGUAAGUUAGAGGUGAAAGCCCGGGGCUCAACCCCGGAAUUGCCUUUAAGACUGCAUCGCUUGAAUCCGGGAGAGGUGAGUGGAAUUCCGAGUGUAGAGGUGAAAUUCGUAGAUAUUCGGAAGAACACCAGUGGCGAAGGCGGCUCACUGGACUGGUAUUGACGCUGAGGUGCGAAAGCGUGGGGAGCAAACAGG
rnacentral:rRNA from 1 species